rnacentral:misc_RNA from 1 species
UCAAACUUGGUCAUUUAGAGGAAGUAAAAGUCGUAACAAGGUUUCCGUAGGUGAACCUGCGGAAGGAUCAUUACCAAUCUUUAGCGGCCUUGGUUUGUUUCAUGGUCUCGCGAAACUUGUAUUUAAAACCUACUCAUAUAAUAGAAUAAUACUUAUACUUAUGAUAUAAAUAAAGAUCACUUUCAACAACGGGUCUCUUGUGUCUCAGAGACAGUCAAACUUGGUCAUUUAGAGGAAGUAAAAGUCGUAACAAGGUUUCCGUAGGUGAACCUGCGGAAGGAUCAUUACCAAUCUUUAGCGGCCUUGGUUUGUUUCAUGGUCUCGCGAAACUUGUAUUUAAAACCUACUCAUAUAAUAGAAUAAUACUUAUACUUAUGAUAUAAAUAAAGAUCACUUUCAACAACGGAUCUCUUGGCUCUCGCAUCGAUGAAGAACGCAGC